GAUGAACGCUGGCGGCGUGCCUAAUACAUGCAAGUCGAGCGAACAGACGAGGAGCUUGCUCCUCUGACGUUAGCGGCGGACGGGUGAGUAACACGUGGAUAACCUACCUAUAAGACUGGGAUAACUUCGGGAAACCGGAGCUAAUACCGGAUAAUAUAUUGAACCGCAUGGUUCAAUAGUGAAAGACGGUUUUGCUGUCACUUAUAGAUGGAUCCGCGCCGCAUUAGCUAGUUGGUAAGGUAACGGCUUACCAAGGCAACGAUGCGUAGCCGACCUGAGAGGGUGAUCGGCCACACUGGAACUGAGACACGGUCCAGACUCCUACGGGAGGCAGCAGUAGGGAAUCUUCCGCAAAGGGCGAAAGCCUGACGGAGCAACGCCGUGUGAGUGAUGAAGGUCUUCGGAUCGUAAAACUCUGUUAUUAGGGAAGAACAAAUGUGUAAGUAACUAUGCACGUCUUGACGGUACCUAAUCAGAAAGCCACGGCUAACUACGUG
rnacentral:rRNA from 1 species